rnacentral:rRNA from 1 species
GUUGGGGAGUAAAGUGAGGCACGUGUGCCUUUUUGCAUUUACCCUUCGAAUAAGGACCGGCUAAUUCCGUGCCAGCAGCCGCGGUAAUACGGAAGGUCCAGGCGUUAUCCGGAUUUAUUGGGUUUAAAGGGAGUGUAGGCGGUCUGUUAAGCGUGUUGUGAAAUUUAGGUGCUCAACAUCUACCUUGCAGCGCGAACUGGCGGACUUGAGUGCACGCAACGUAUGCGGAAUUCAUGGUGUAGCGGUGAAAUGCUUAGAUAUCAUGACGAACUCCGAUUGCGAAGGCAGCGUACGGGAGUGUUACUGACGCUUAAGCUCGAAGGUGCGGGUAUCGAACAGGAUUAGAUACCCUGGUAGUCCGCACGGUAAACGAUGGAUGCCCGCUGUUAGCGCCUGGCGUUAGCGGCUAAGCGAAAGCAUUAAGCAUCCCACCUGGGGAGUACGCCGGCAACGGUGAAACUCAAAGGAAUUGACGGGGGCCCGCACAAGCGGAGGAACAUGUGGUUUAAUUCGAUGAUACGCGAGGAACCUUACCCGGGCUUGAAUUGCAGACGCAGGAUACAGAGAUGUUGACUCCCUUCGGGGCGUCUGUGAAGGUGCUGCAUGGUUGUCGUCAGCUCGUGCCGUGAGGUGUCGGCUUAAGUGCCAUAACGAGCGCAACCCCUUUCCUUAGUUGCCAUCAGGUUAUGCUGGGCACUCUGGGGAUACUGCCACCGCAAGGUGUGAGGAAGGUGGGGAUGACGUCAAAUCAGCACGGCCCUUACGUCCGGGGCUACACACGUGUUACAAUGGCCGGUACAGAGGGACGGUGUAAUGUAAAUUGCAUCCAAUCUUGAAAGCCGGUCCCAGUUCGGACUGAGGUCUGCAACCCGACCUCACGAAGCUGGAUUCGCUAGUAAUCGCGCAUCAGCCAUGGCGCGGUGAAUACGUUCCCGGGCCUUGUACACACCGCCCGUCAAGCCAUGAAAGCCGGGGGUGCCUGAAGU